UGUACACACCGCCCGUCACACCAUGGGAGUGGGUUGCAAAAGAAGUAGGUAGCUUAACCUUCGGGAGGGCGCUUACCACUUUGUGAUUCAUGACUGGGGUGAAGUCGUAACAAGGUAACCGUAGGGGAACCUGCGGUUGGAUCACCUCCUUA
rnacentral:rRNA from 4 species